rnacentral:lncRNA from 1 species
CAUCCAUGAGAAGACAUGGUAUUCUCAUUGAUCUCAUUUCCAUUGCUCUUUUUUGUAGACAUAUUUUGGGAAGAGAAGGUGCAAUGCAUUUCAGAUAUAUUUCUUCAGUUUCAACCUCCAUUGACCUAGCUUCUCAAACUGGAAGACAAUCUAACUUUCAGAAAGUUACUUUGAAGGAAGAGAAAGAAAAAGAAGAAAAUGCUUAAUGUGCUGGAUAUAUCUGGAACCUGGACAUUUUCUUGAAGCAGAACUUGAAUCAUGUUGUCUGCUUUACAUCCGUGCAUUACUGUUACCACAAGAUCAGAAGAGAUGCAGAAGCCAUCAGAUCAGGCCAAGGAAUUUGUCAAUCUCUUCUCACCCUGCUUCCUGAAGUUCACUUUGAAAAAGUAUUUCUUCACCAUUCACUUCUACUUGCAAGAGGAUGGAGGAGAAAGUAUAGUGAAUUUCAAGGAAGCGCAUACAAUUGCAGGGAAAUGUCAAUCUGAGAGAUCCAGUGAGAAGGAAGGAGAAUGGUUAGAAGUCCAGAGAACACUUCAGAAUUGGGGAUACAGUUAUGAACUCUGA